AAGAAGAAGCUUAUCUUAGGAAUGGAGACUGAGGAAUAUUUGCUGAAGUCAUAGCAUGUGUCCAGGAUUGCAAGUGCUUGUGCCCUUGGGUAUUGGGUCAUCUUCUGUCGGAAUGAAGACCUCAGUGCCGCGUAGGCAGUCGGUGGCAACCGCGUGAUGACGGUUCCGGAGUCAAUGAUGGUGCCGGCGGUGGUGAAAAGGGAUGCUGAGAUCGAUAGUUUUUGGCCGCCGACGCUUAUUCCAGUGAUGUCGAUGCCGUAAAAGGAUUCCCCUUGGGAGACUGUGGACAAUGUGGUGAACUUCACGGAUUUUGAGACUCCACCACCGUAGCCAAAAGCGAGGAAACCAUCUGAGCUGGCAGAUGACGGCAAGCAGUAGGAGAAGAAUUUCUUGUAUUUUGAGGCGGUUUGUGAUGGCAAAGACAAUUGAUCUCGGCCAAGUCCUAGCAAACCGGCUGAGCCACCAAAAAGACCUUGG
rnacentral:lncRNA from 1 species